rnacentral:SRP_RNA from 1 species
ACCAGACAUAGUGGUAUACGCCUGUAGUCCCGGUUGCUAGGGUGGCAAAAGCUGAUGGAUCCUUUGAGUUUGGGAGUUCUGAGCUGCAGUAUGGCUAAAGUCAAUUGGGUGACCACACUAAAUCUGGCACCAAUAUGGUGAGCCCCUGGGAGUGGAGGGCUGCCAGGCUGUCAAAGGAUGGGUGAACCAGCCCAGGUUGGAAAAAUGGACCAAAUUAAAGCUUCCAUGCAAAUUGGUACUAAGAUUGGGCUCAUGAAUGCCCACUAUAUUUCCAGUCUAGAUGAAGUAAGGAAUCUCAGUCUAA